rnacentral:rRNA from 1 species
UACGAAGGGGGCUAGCGUUGUUCGGAAUCACUGGGCGUAAAGGGCGCGCAGGCGGCCAUUCAAGUCAGAUGUGAAAUCCCCGGGCUCAACCUGGGAAUGGCAUUUGGGACUGCAAGGCUUGAGUGCGGCAGAGGAGACUGGAAUUCCUGGUGUAGCAGUGAAAUGCGUAGAUAUCGGGAGGAACACCUGUGGCGAAAGCGGCUCACUGGACCACAACUGACGCUGAGGCGCGAAAGCUAGGGGAGCAAACAGG